GAUGAACGCUAGCGGCAGGCUUAAUACAUGCAAGUCGAGGGGCAGCACAGAUAGCAAUAUUGGGUGGCGACCGGCAAACGGGUGCGGAACACGUACACAACCUUCCUUUUGGUGGGGGAUAGCCUUUGGAAACGGAGAUUAAUACCCCAUAAGAUAUUGAAAUCGCAUGGUUUUGAUAUUAAAGAUUUAUUGCCAGAAGAUGGGUGUGCGUAUGAUUAGGUAGUUGGUGAGGUAAAGGCUCACCAAGCCGACGAUCAUUAACUGGUGUGAGAGCACGACCAGUCACACGGGCACUGAGACACGGGCCCGACUCCUACGGGAGGCAGCAGUAAGGAAUAUUGGUCAAUGGACGGAAGUCUGAACCAGCCAUGCCGCGUGGAGGAUGAAGGUCCUCUGGAUUGUAAACUUCUUUUAUAUGGGGCGAAAAAGGGCCAUUCUUGGUCAACUGACGGUACCAUAUGAAUAAGCACCGGCUAACUCCGUGCCAGCCGCCGCAGUAAAAC
rnacentral:rRNA from 1 species